rnacentral:rRNA from 1 species
GAUGAACGCUGGCGGCGUGCUUAACACAUGCAAGUCGAACGAAGCACUCUACUUGAUCUCUUCGGAGUGAUUGUUUUGUGACUGAGUGGCGGACGGGUGAGUAACGCGUGGGUAACCUGCCUCAUACAGGGGGAUAACAGUUGGAAACGACUGCUAAUACCGAAUAAGCGCACAGCAUCGCAUGAUGCAGUGUGAAAAACUCCGGUGGUAUGAGAUGGACCCGAGUCUGAUUAGCCAGGUGGUGGGGUAACGGCCUACCAAAGCGACGGUCAGUCGCCGACCUGAGAGGGUGACCGGCCACAUUGGGACUGAGACACGGCCCAAACUCCUACGGGAGGCAGCAGUGGGGAAUAUUGCACAAUGGGGGAAACCCUGAUGCAGCGACGCCGCGUGAGCGAAGAAGUAUUUCGGUAUGUAAAGCUCUAUCAGCAGGGAAGAAGAAAUGACGGUACCUGACUAAGAAGCACCGGCUAAAUACGUGCCAGCCGCCGCAGUAA